rnacentral:lncRNA from 1 species
AGAGAGCUGACAGCAAGAAUAAAAGGUGUUUUCUAACAUGAAUGCUGGGCCAUCUAUAAAGCAUAGAAAGGGAGAAAAGAAACCAGCUCCCUUGAUCGGUUUUUAAAGAUCCCUUUCUUUGCUGGAAGAGAGAAUCGAGAUACUGACCCACAAAAAUUUAAAGAUGAAACGUUUUCAAUCUUCUCCUGACUGUUGGCGACUCAGAUUUAAGGUCAGGCUGGUCACCAGCUUUCUUGACUGAUGUUCAUGACAACAGCCACCUGGAAAGGCAACCUCCAUUCAAAGUAGACCAUUGAAAGUAGAAGUUAACUCCUGGAGCCUCUGCUGAGUUGAAGAUCCCUCUCAUUUGCCGGGUGCCAAGAAAGAUGAACAGACCGGGCAAUAGAAAAAUAGCCAAAGAAGGAUCCAGUGAUUUGAAAUUCCAGAACUUCGCUCUGCCGAAAAAUAGGUCAUGGCCCGGAAUCGACAGUGCCACAGGUAAGUCAGGGCCCCCCCAGGCACCGAAGCAGUGGGAAUGUCAGCAGGAGUCUGUUAUUCCUCCUUCCACCCUUCUCCAUUUU